rnacentral:misc_RNA from 1 species
UAACACACAGCCAGACUACACAAAA